GCGCUGUGUUGCAGAGGAGGAGCGGCGGGUGCGAGCCAACGCGCGGGAGUACAACGAGAAGUUCCAGUACGCGAGCAACUGCAUCAAGACCUCCAAGUACAACAUCGUCACCUUCCUGCCUGUCAACCUCUUCGAGCAGUUCCAGGAAGUGGCCAACACCUAUUUCCUCUUCCUCCUCAUCCUGCAGCUGAUCCCGCAGAUCUCUUCGCUCUCCUGGUUCACCACCAUUGUGCCUUUGGUUCUUGUCUUAACCAUC
rnacentral:lncRNA from 1 species